GUGCUCACUUCGGCAGCACAUACAGUAAAACUGAAAUGAUACACAGAAGAUUAGCAUGGCCCCUGCGCAAGGAUACCACACAACUUCGUGAAGCAUUCCAUAUUUUU